rnacentral:rRNA from 1 species
AUACGUAGGGGGCGAGCGUUGUCCGGAUUUACUGGGUGUAAAGGGCGUGUAGGCGGAGAUGCAAGUCAGGAGUGAAAUCUAGGGGCUCAACCCCUAAACUGCUUUUGAAACUGUAUCCCUUGAGUAUCGGAGAGGCAGGCGGAAUUCCUAGUGUAGCGGUGAAAUGCGUAGAUAUUAGGAGGAACACCAGUGGCGAAGGCGGCCUGCUGGACGACAACUGACGCUGAGGCGCGAAAGCGUGGGGAGCAAACAGGAUUAGAUACCCUGGUAGUCCACGCUGUAAACGAUGAAUACUAGGUGUGGGGGGACUGACCCCCUCCGUGCCGCAGUUAACACAAUAAGUAUUCCACCUGGGGAGUACGAUCGCAAGAUUGAAACUCAAAGGAAUUGACGGGG